rnacentral:rRNA from 1 species
GAUGAACGCUGGCGGCGUGCCUAAUACAUGCAAGUCGAGCGAACAGACGAGGAGCUUGCUCCUCUGACGUUAGCGGCGGACGGGUGAGUAACACGUGGAUAACCUACCUAUAAGACUGGGAUAACUUCGGGAAACCGGAGCUAAUACCGGAUAAUAUAUUGAACCGCAUGGUUCAAUAGUGAAAGACGGUUUUGCUGUCACUUAUAGAUGGAUCCGCGCCGCAUUAGCUAGUUGGUAGGUAACGGCUUAACAAGGCAACGAUGCGUAGCCGACCUGAGAGGGUGAUCGGCCACACUGGAACUGAGACACGGUCCAGACUCCUACGGGAGGCAGCAGUAGGGAAUCUUCCGCAAUGGGCGAAAGCCUGACGGAGCAACGCCGCGUGAGUGAUGAAGGUCUUCGGAUCGUAAAACUCUGUUAUUAGGGAAGAACAAAUGUGUAAGUAACUAUGCACGUCUUGACGGUACCUAAUCAGAAAGCCACGGCUAACUACGUG